rnacentral:rRNA from 1 species
GACGAACGCUGGCGGCGUGCUUAACACAUGCAAGUCGAACGGAAAGGCCUCUUUCGGGGGGUACUCGAGUGGCGAACGGGUGAGUAACACGUGAGUAACCUGCCCUUGACUUUGGGAUAACUUCAGGAAACUGGGGCUAAUACCGGAUAGGAGCUCCUGCUGCAUGGUGGGGGUUGGAAAGUUUCGGCGGUUGGGGGUGGACUCGCGGCUUAUCAGCUUGUUGGUGGGGUAGUGGCUUACCAAGGCUUUGACGGGUAGCCGGCCUGAGAGGGUGACCGGCCACAUUGGGACUGAGAUACGGCCCAGACUCCUACGGGAGGCAGCAGUGGGGAAUAUUGCACAAUGGGUGGAAGCCUGAUGCAGCAACGCCGUGUGCGGGAUGACGGCCUUCGGGUUGUAAACCGCUUUCGCUCAUGACGAAGCUUUGUGUGACGGUAGUGGGUAAAGAAGCACCGGCUAACUACGUG